AUACCUUUCUCGGCCUUUUGGCUAAGAUCAAGUGUAGUAUCUGUUCUUAUCAGUUUAAUAUCUGAUACGUGGGUCAUUGGCCCACUGUGAUAUUAAAUUAAUUUUUUAUGGGGUGAGGGUUCAUUUCAAUAGCUUGCUAUUGGAAUCCUCGUGUGUCAUUCUUGCGUUGCACUAUUGCUAGAAUCAGGCGCACCCGAU